rnacentral:ncRNA from 1 species
AACUGUUUUGGUCCUAGACUUGCCGUUGUCUUAUGCCAACCUUACACAUGCAAGCCUCCACACACCCGUGCCCAUGCCCACACCCUACAAACACUAGGCCAGGAGCAGGUAUCAGGCACACUACACCACUAGCCCACAACACCUAGCACAUGCCACACCCCCACGGACACCAGCAGUGACAAACAUUUAGCAAUUAGAGCAACACUUGACUAAGGUAUGGCCAACCCCUUAGGGCCGGCAAACCUCGUGCCAGCCGCCGCGGUUACACGAAGGGCCCAAGACAACAGCCCACGGCGUAAAAUGUGACUUAAAGACCUACCAAGAACUCUGGGCUCAAAAACAUGGAGUCGUUGUAAAACACCAACACCAUAAAAAACCACUAUAAGCGCCCACCAACCCAUCCGCACCUUGAACUCACGAAACCUGAGGCACAAACUAGGAUUAGAUACCCUACUAUGCUCAGCCAUUAACAUAGGCAGUAUAACACCACACUGCUCGCCAGAGAACUACAAGCGAAAAGCUUUAAACUCAAAGGACUUGACGGCAUCUCACCCGACCUAGAGGAGCCUGUCCUAUAAUCGACACCCCACGAAACACCCGAACCUUCCCUAGAACCCCCCCAGCCUAUAUACCGCCGUCGUCAGCCCACCCCAUGAGGGCAAGUGGGCAAAACCGACCCCACCCAAAAACGCCAGGUCAAGGUGUAGCCAACGGGAAGGAAGAGAUGGGCUACAUUUUCUAAAACAAGAAAACACCGUAAGUAAACUGAAACCCACCUGAAAGGCGGAUUUAAUAGUAAGCAAGAAUAAGACAUGUCUUACUGAACACUGCCCUGAGACGCGUACACACCGCCCGUCACCCUCCUUAAAUCACCACCACAUCCUAACUAAAACUAACCACAACAAAAAAUGAGGUAAGUCGUAACAUGGUAAGCGUACUGGAAAGUGCGCUUGAAAA